CUUGACGGAGCCGAGCCACAACGGCCGUUCCCGGCCCUGCCCGUACGUGGCCAGGACCGCCUGGGCCUC
rnacentral:antisense_RNA from 1 species